AACGAACGCUGGCGGCAGGCUUAACACAUGCAAGUCGAACGCAUCGCAAGAUGAGUGGCAGACGGGUGAGUAACGCGUGGGAACAUACCCUUUUCUACGGAAUAGCUCUGGGAAACUGGAAUUAAUACCGUAUACGCCCUACGGGGGAAAGAUUUAUCGGGGAAGGAUUGGCCCGCGUUGGAUUAGCUAGUUGGUGGGGUAAAGGCCUACCAAGGCGACGAUCCAUAGCUGGUCUGAGGGGAUGAUCAGCCACAUUGGGACUGAGACACGGCCCAAACACCUACGGGAGGCAGCAGUGGGGAAUAUUGGACAAUGGGCGCAAGCCUGAUCCAGCCAUGCCGCGUGAGUGAUGAAGGCCUUAGGGUUGUAAAGCUCUUUCACCGAUGAAGAUAAUGACGGUAGUCGGAGAAGAAGCCCCGGCUAACUUCGUGCCAGCCGCCGCGGUAA
rnacentral:rRNA from 1 species